GAUGAACGCUAGCGGCAGGCUUAAUACAUGCAAGUCGAGGGGCAGCGCGGGUAGCAAUACCUGGCGGCGACCGGCAAACGGGUGCGGAACACGUACAGAACCUUCCUUUAAGCGGGGGAUAGCCCAUAGAAAUGUGGAUUAAUACCCCAUAGUAAUAUUUAAUGGCAUCAUUAGAUAUUUAAAGAUUUAUCACUUAAAGAUGGCUGUGCGGCUGAUUAGGUAGUUGGUGUGGGAACGGCCCACCAAGCCAGCGAUCAGUAACUGGUGUGAGAGCACGACCAGUCACACGGGCACUGAGACGCGGGCCCGACUCCUACGGGAGCAGCAGUAAGGAAUAUUGGUCAAUGGACGCAAGUCUGAACCAGCCAUGCCGCGUGAAGGAUGAAGGCCCUCUGGGUUGUAAACUUUCUUUUAUCUGGGAAGAAAUG
rnacentral:rRNA from 1 species